rnacentral:rRNA from 1 species
UGUGACCUCAAAUCAGGUAGGACUACCCGCUGAACUUAAGCAUAUCAAUAAGCGGAGGAAAAGAAACUAACAAGGAUUCCCCUAGUAACUGCGAGUGAAGCGGGAAAAGCUCAAAUUUAAAAUCUGUCAGUCUUUGGCUGUCCGAGUUGUAAUCUAGAGAAGUGUUGUCGGCGCUGGACCGUGUACAAGUCUCCUGGAAUGGAGCGUCAUAGAGGGUGAGAAUCCCGUCUUUGACACGGACUGCCAGGGCUUUGUGAUGCGCUCUCGAAGAGUCGAGUUGUUUGGGAAUGCAGCUCAAAAUGGGUGGUAAAUUCCAUCUAAAGCUAAAUAUUGGCGAGAGACCGAUAGCGAACAAGUACCGUGAGGGAAAGAUGAAAAGAACUUUGGAAAGAGAGUUAAACAGUACGUGAAAUUGCUGAAAGGGAAACGCUUGAAGUCAGUCAUGUUGUCCAGGGAUCAACCUUGCUUUUGCUUGGUGUACUUUCUGGUUGACGGGUCAGCAUCAAUUUUGACCAUUGGAAAAAGAUUGAGGGAAUGUGGCAUYCUUGGAUGUGUUAUAGCCCUUGGUUGCAUACAAUGGUUGAGAUUGAGGAACUCAGCAUGCCGCAAGGCCGGG